UGCUGCUUCUUCACACUGAAAUCCUGAAGAGGCACAAUCAACUUCUCACCGGGACAGAAAGCUUACCAGGAGCAGGUUAAUUAGGCUCCUUCAGAGCACAGUCUUGAAUUUCUUCUCAUCUUGGGGAAGUGCACAGGAAAUGAUGCAGGGGAACAGCGGCAUAGUUCAAGCACAUCCUGACAGUGAGCAGAUCCUAUGCUGCAGAAUUGAAACUGCAAUACAGAAGUUGAUUUUGGAGUUCAGGUAUCAUAAGGAGACCAAAGUAAGUUUGCAUUCAUCUUCCGGUUAAGACAGCUACCAGCAACGGAGGCAACUGAGGGCUGGUGUUCCCUCUGGCAGGACUUCCAGGGCAGUUCUCCAGCAGCGUAGUCCAGAGUACCUGCAAUAUUUCAUAGUCAGUCAGAGGAGCAGCCAGUUCUUCACUAUUGUUCCCCUGGAGGCACAGUUUUUGAAUGAAUGCAGGAGGCAAAAGAAACAGAAAUGGCGGUCUACAAAAAUCUAACAGUGAAUAACUUGAUUUGAGGAACUGAGUAAUUCUUGAUUGUUCACAACUGAACACACCGAGCAGCGUUUGGCUUCUAUCACUUCACAACCCCCACAGAAGGAGGAAUUCAGGCAUCUGCUGUUGGGAAACAGGAAACUGUGCUCGAUGGACUCUCACCCACUCAGAGGAACUCUAACGCAAUUGAAUUAAGAGCCUAUUUCCAGCAGAGGCCUCUUGCUGACAUUAUGAAGUCCAAAGUGCAGCGCACAAACAGAAGAGUCCGUACAAUGGGAUACCUGUGACAUCUGUUAUAUUUUGCAGCACACUUCGGUACCCUCACUGCGCCCGGAAGGAAGGAUUGUUUCCCUUCUUUAUCUGGAGAAGAUGUAACGCAGCCCUCCUGCCCGAGAGACAUCUGAAGGAUCGCCAGAACUAGGCAGACCUUCCAAACCUGUAACCUGGCUGCACGCUCGCAGGUAGAAUUGAACAAUUGAAGACCCAAAUGAAAAAUAAGAAGCUUUCUGAAUAUAAUCAUUGGAUUUUUUUUUUUAAUUCAAGCUAGAUACUAUACUGUACUGCAUUAACUAAAUUGGAAAAACUGCUGUACCAUCUUGCUGAAAAUAUACCUGUAUACUAAUAAUUUAUCCUUGUUACAAAAUGACAGUAGCAUUCAGUCAUGCAAGGCUUAUUUAAGUAUUUCCAUUCCACAUGCAGCCACAGUUUAAAUAUGCGUGCAAUAUUACAGUCCUCAUUAAAUAAUGAAUUUCACUACUGAUGUCAAUAUAUGCUUAAUAUAGUGCUGUUGCCUUAUACUCCAAAACAAGAACCAUUACAGGCAAAAAAAUUGUAAAUAUAAACAAAUGUCUGAGUUGAACACUCACCAUGUCUGACAGAUAGCUGGAUGUCAUAAAUCCUUUCAUGGCUAGAUUUGCAUAGAAAUCUGUGAACAAUCCAAACAGCAGUUAAACAUCAGUUCUGCUCCCCUAAUUUGCAAUAGUUUCACCAUUACAUGUAUAGCUUUUUCCAAAAAGCAGCGCUAAGCCCCUUUCAUUCUACCAUCAAGCUCUGUUACUGAACAUACAUAUGAAGUGUAUAAGUUUACAAAAUAUGUCAGCAUAUAUCUGCAAAUUAACAGCACAGCUUCUUCCACUUAUAGCAGUAAAGAUGCUUUUUCAUUUCUGGGAUAAGAAAAUGGAAAAAAAAAUAGAUUGCUUGGCAGAGUUU